AAAUCGUACCCCAAACCGACACAGGUGGUCAGGUAGAGAAUACCAAGGCGCUUGAGAGAACUCGGGUGAAGGAACUAGGCAAAAUGGUGCCGUAACUUCGGGAGAAGGCACGCUGGUGUGUAGGUGAAGUCCCUGCGGAUGGAGCUGAGACCAGUCGAAGAUACCAGCUGGCUGCAACUGUUUAUUAAAAACACAGCACUGUGCAAACACGAAAGUGGACGUAUACGGUGUGACGCCUGCCCGGUGCCGGAAGGUUAAUUGAUGGGGUUAUCC
rnacentral:rRNA from 1 species